rnacentral:rRNA from 1 species
GACGAACGCUGGCGGCGUGCCUAAUACAUGCAAGUUGAGCGAUGAAGAUUGGUGCUUGCACCAAUUUGAAGAGCAGCGAACGGGUGAGUAACGCGUGGGGAAUCUGCCAUUGAGCGGGGGACAACAUUUGGAAACGAAUGCUAAUACCGCAUAACAACUUUAAACAUAAGUUUUAAGUUUGAAAGAUGCAAUUGCAUCACUCAAAGAUGAUCCCGCGUUGUAUUAGCUAGUUGGUGAGGUAAAGGCUCACCAAGGCGAUGAUACAUAGCCGACCUGAGAGGGUGAUCGGCCACAUUGGGACUGAGACACGGCCCAAACUCCUACGGGAGGCAGCAGUAGGGAAUCUUCGGCAAUGGACGAAAGUCUGAACGAGCAACGCCGCGUGAGUGAAGAAGGUUUUCGGAUCGUAAAACUCUGUUGGUAGAGAAGAACGUUGGUGAGAGUGGAAAGCUCAUCAAGUGACGGUAACUACCCAGAAAGGGACGGCUAACUACGUG